AAGUAUUCCAUGCCCAGUUUGCCUCCUUGCACUGAUCUGUCUCCACUGACUUCAGUGUAGCAUACCUGGGUUUAACCGGGUGUUAGAUGAGACAAGAAAAAGACUAAGGCUUUUUACUGCCUUUUAAAACUUUAGAGAGAAAAGAACCUUUUAACACAGAUCGAAACGAGACCAACAGGAUCCCGUUUUAUGAAUACACCGCAGGGAUACGGCUGAAGGACAGAUGUAGUCAUUUACAGAGACCUUCCUGUAACUGUUUUUAAAGAUAGAGACUGCCACUGUUUGGAAGGUCAGAAGUUUCAUUCUCACCUCUGAAAUGAUGACAGUGGGCAGCUGGUGGAAGACGCUCCAAAAAAUCAUUCAUACCAACGUUAUGUUAGCUUUAUCAGCAGAUUUUGACAGGCACUGACCAGCCUUGCUCUUAAUGCUCCAAACAGCAGAAAUCCCAUCACCACUAUAGACAAUCUAGUCAGGUAGUCAACUAUUUUACCCCUAAAAUAUACUGCCAGGAGUAACCCAAUUCCUUCUCGCUCUAUUUAUGCUCUAUCUACUACUGACACACGGGACAAAUUGCUCCUUUCCCUUUCACACUUAAUUUUAUGCCUCAUGUACUUUAUAAUUAAAACUUCUGUAUGCAUCUCAGUAUCAUACCGUAUGGCUGCACAAAAAGCAAAUGCUCCUAUUCAACCCAUGGUCCAGGAUGACUUACUCAAAAGAACACCAUGUUUUGCCACCUAUAUUGCUUAUUUAGCUUUACUAUUUCAUAGAAUCACGGAAUUGCUCAGGUUGGAAAAGACCUCGGAGAUCAAGUCCAACUGCAACCCAACCUAUUUUGGGCUUGGAACAAGAGUGAAUAAGCCAGCUUAUUCAUUUAGGGCACUAUUUGAUUUGUUGGGAUCACUACGCUACAUCCUUAUUCUGACCUUCAGCAGUCUCCUCAAUGUUCUGAUAUAUGCUACUGUAGUAAGUACUGCCCAUUCUCUCCAGGUCAGGGGGUAAGGGGUAAAUCUAACCAAGGGACAGUCCUAAAAAAAAGAAAUCCACUCUGAUAAAAGAAUAUGAACUAAUUAGUAAACAAUCUCUAUAAAAUGGUUUUCAAAGUACUUCUGCAUCCAGCUUACAGUUGUUUCAGAUAGACCAAGUUUCUCUAACAUGCAAGACAGCUUCAAAAGCUACAGCCUAGAAAACAUCUGCUUUUCUUCUACCUAAGGGCCCAUACCUCUCAUCCAUGGCUUAUUCUCAAAAAAUUCAAGUUGGCUAAUUAUCUUUUACCACUUCCUUCCAGUUGCUCAACAUACUAUCCUCACCUCCUAAAGCUUUCUCUUAGACUGAAGUUGUAUUUCUGGGUUUAUUAUUCCACAUCCCUCUCGCCCUCCAUCUGCAUUUCAAGACAGAUGAGGUACUGGCUGGCUGAAUAUGAAGAAUAUAUUAUCUGUCAUCCAGGAUCUGUCAGGAAGUUAGAAGUUCCAAAACUGUUUCAGUCUGUUUACUAAGGAACACAGAAAGCAUUUACCCUUGAAGUUUUACACUAGAACAUCCCUGUUAGCCACCGAGCACGUACAAUUACCACCACCAAUAAAGGUAUCCUUGUUCCCACCUC
ensembl:lncRNA